rnacentral:rRNA from 1 species
UACGUAGGGUGCGAGCGUUGUCCGGAAUUAUUGGGCGUAAAGAGCUCGUAGGCGGUUUGUUGCGUCGGCUGUGAAAUCCCGAGGCUCAACCUCGGGUCUGCAGUCGAUACGAGCAAACUAGAGUGUUGCAGGGGAGACUGGAAUUCCUGGUGUAGCGGUGAAAUGCGCAGAUAUCAGGAGGAACACCGGUGGCGAAGGCGGGUCUCUGGGCAACAACUGACGCUGAGGCACGAAGGUCAGGGGAGCAAACGGG